rnacentral:rRNA from 1 species
ACUGCUCAGUAACACGUGGACAACCUACCCUAAGGAGGGGGAUAACCCCGGGAAACUGGGGAUAAUACCCCAUAGACUAGAGAAGCUGGAAUGCUCUCAAGUCCAAAGGUCCGCCGCCUUAGGAUGGGACUGCGGUCGAUUAGGUUGUUGUUGGGGUAACGGCCCAACAAGCCCGUGAUCGAUACGGGUUGUGAGAGCAAGAGCCCGGAGAUGGAUUCUGAGACACGAAUCCAGGCCCUACGGGGCGCAGCAGGCGCGAAAACUUUACAAUGCGGGAAACCGUGAUAAGGGAACCCCGAGUGCCCGUAAAUUCGGGCUGUCCAUCAGCGUAAAUAACUGGUGAAGAAAGGGCCGGGCAAGACCGGUGCCAGCCGCCGCGGUAAUACCGGCGGCUCGAGUGGUGGCCACUAUUAUUGGGCUUAAAGCGUCCGUAGCUUGGUUGUUAAGUCUCUUGGGAAAUCUACCGGCUCAACCGGUAGGCGUUCAGGAGAUACUGGCAAUCUAGGGACCGGGAGAGGUGAGAGGUACUCCAGGGGUAGGAGUGAAAUCCUGUAAUCCUUGGGGGACCACCUGCGGCGAAGGCGUCUCACUAGAACGGCUCCGACAGUGAGGGACGAAAGCUGGGGGAGCAAACCGGAUUAGAUACCCGGGUAGUCCCAGCUGUAAACGAUGCGCGUUAGGUGUAUCGGUGACCACGAGUCACCGAGGUGCCGAAGGGAAACCGUGAAACGUGCCGCCUGGGAAGUACGGUCGCAAGGCUGAAACUUAAAGGAAUUGGCGGGGGAGCAC